rnacentral:rRNA from 1 species
GACGAACGCUGGCGGCGUGCCUAAUACAUGCAAGUUGAGCGCUGAAGGUUGGUACUUGUACCAACUGGAUGAGCAGCGAACGGGUGAGUAACGCGUGGGGAAUCUGCCUUUGAGCGGGGGACAACAUUUGGAAACGAAUGCUAAUACCGCAUAAAAACUUUAAACACAAGUUUUAAGUUUGAAAGAUGCAAUUGCAUCACUCAAAGAUGAUCCCGCGUUGUAUUAGCUAGUUGGUGAGGUAAAGGCUCACCAAGGCGAUGAUACAUAGCCGACCUGAGAGGGUGAUCGGCCACAUUGGGACUUAGACACGGCCCAAACUCCUACGGGAGGCAGCAGUAGGGAAUCUUCGGCCAUGGACGAAAGUCUGACCGAGCAACGCCGCGUUAGUUAAGAAGGUUUUCGGAUCGUAAAACUCUGUUGGUAGAGAAGAACGUUGGUGAGAGUGGAAAGCUCAUCAAGUGACGGUAACUACACAGAAAGGGACGGCUAACUACGUG